GAUGAAGAACGUAGCGAAAUGCGAUAAGUAAUGUGAAUUGCAGAAUUCAGUGAAUCAUCGAAUCUUUGAACGCACAUUGCGCCCGCCAGUAUUCUGGCGGGCAUGCCUGUUCGAGCGUCAUUUCAACCAUCAAGCCCCCGGCUUGUGUUGGGGACCUGCGGCUGCCGCAGGCCCUGAAAUGCAGUGGCGGGCUCGCUGUCACUCCGAGCGUAGUAGUUACAUCUCGCUCUGGGCGUGCUGCGGGUUCCGGCCGUUAAAAGCCUUAUUUACCCAAGGUUGACCUCGGAUCAGGUAGGAAGACCCGCUGAACUUAAGCAUAUCAAUAAGCGAGGA
rnacentral:misc_RNA from 1 species